rnacentral:rRNA from 1 species
CCUACGGGUGGCAGCAGUGAGGAAUAUUGGUCAAUGGACGGGAGCCUGAACCAGCCAAGCCGCGUGCGGGAAGAAGGUUCAAUGUAUCGUAAACUGCUUUUGUCCGGGGACAAAGGCGGGGACGUGUCCUCGGCUGAGGGUACUUGACGAAUAAGCAUCGGCUAACUCCGUGCCAGCAGCCGCGGUAAUACGGAGGAUGCGAGCGUUAUCCGGAUUUAUUGGGUUUAAAGGGUGCGUAGGCGGCCUGUUAAGUCAGCGGGAAAAGCCCGGGGCUUAACCCGGGCGAGCCGUUGAAACUGGCGGGCGAGAGUUGGAGAGAGGUACGCGGAAUGUGCGGUGUAGCGGUGAAAUGCUUAGAGAUCGCGCAGAACCCCGAUUGCGAAGGCAGCGUACCGACUCCACACUGACGCUGAGGCACGAAAGCGUGGGGAGCGAACAGGAUUAGAUACCCGGGUAGUC